AGAAGAGAAGGAUUACUGAUGCCUUCAGCAUACAGGUGGCCCAAAAUGGCCCUAGAUGAUUUCUUGGUCAAGAAGAUGUUUGCAGUGGAAGUUCGUAAACGUAGCUGCAACUGAUUUAUCCCUUAUUCACUCUUCUUUAAAAAAAAUAAAACUAAUGAAGAAAUACAAUACUAAUGAAGAGAGAUCCCAGAGUUUUAAAAAAAAGAAAGAAAGAAAGAAGACAACACUUAUGGGAUAUGUAAGUACUUAUUUUAGAUUCUUUUUACUUUGCUUCACCCUAGUUCUGAUUCAGGGUUCAAGUCCUAGUGAGGUCUUAUUUUAAAUUUUGGUAUAGGCCCUCAUAGAUUUGAAGUCUGGGUCUGGGUAAUAAUUAACGAUGUUGUUCCUCUUCUGAAGGGGAAAAACUGCGGAUAGAGAGUUUUAUUGAAAGAGGAGAUGGAGUUAAGGAAGCUCCGUAACUAUCUGGGACUUAACACAGCAUCUGACAUACAGCAGGACUCUUGGGAAAUACACCUGCUGAACGAUGUGUGUGUUCCGCCCCUGCUGUUCAUUGCACAGGCCCCUCUGGCUGUGUUCAGGGGCAGGUGAGAGCCUCUUUUUAGGGUUUGGCUCAGCACUGGACAUUUAUUAAUGUAUUUUUAUGUGACUAUAAAAAUUAUAAACAUUGUAUAACGAUUAGAACACACAAGCAAGCGAGAACAAAUAAGAGUUAAAAAAAAUAAUCCACAGUCACAGUUCUCAGCAUUAUAACUGCUUUAACAUAGGCAUGUUUUAUAAAUAAAAAUAGGACCUGAAGUUUAACAUCAUGUCCCUGACUACUUUGAGGACAAAUAUAUGAGAGCUGGCUACAUUAAAUCAACACUUUGAAAAUCAGGUUUUAGCAUUAGUGAGGCAAAAUGAAGUUUUUUGUUGUUGUUGUUGUUGUUGUUUUUAAAGAUUUUAUUUAUUCAUGAGAGACACAGAGAGAGGCAGAGACACAGGCAGAGGGAGAAGCAGGGUCCCCACAAGGAGCCCAAUGUGGGACUCGAUCCUGGGACCCCGGGAUCACGCCCCGAGCCAAAGGAAGAUGCUCAACCACUGAGCCACCCAGGCAUCCCUAAAAUGAAGUUUAACAAAAAAUUGAAAAUGAAAACUUGGGGCAAUUUUAAGGCAUAUAGAAUUCUUAAGAGUCCUAAGUUUUCAAAGGAUUUCCUAUUGUUUUUAAUAAAUGGUAACAUCUAGGGACACCUGGGUGGCUUAGCGGUUGAACGUCUGCUCAGGGUGUGACCCUGGAGACUCAGGAUCGAGUCCUGCAUCGGGCUCCCCGCAAGGAGCCUCCCUCUCCCUCUGCCUGUGUCUCUGCCUCUCUCUCUGUGUCUCUCAUGAAUAAAGUCUUAAAAAAAAAAAACAAAACCGUAACAUCUAACAGUAUCUUAUUUAUAAUUUCUUCAAAUCCAUAUUAAUGCUUUCUAUUAAACUAUUAUCAUCAUGAAUUAUGAAGCUGCUAAUAUUUCAAGCCUAUUUAUCUGGAGGUUUCAGCUUUCCAUCAUUUCAAAGCCUGAAUUGAAGGCUAGAAUUCCUCCACCAUAGAAAGGAAACAAAAGGCAGCAGAAGGGACAGCGGGCCUUCCCUUGCUUGGCUCCCAGCUCUUAGCACAAACCUGCUGUCUACACGAGUGGCGUCAACUCCUCCUUUCACCUGCUUGCAAAUGUGGAGACAGGCAGGACCACAACAGGUGGACUUGGUGUUGACUCCAGGCAUCUCACUUCAAAGGUGAUUGGGAUCCACCAGCUGUCUCAGGGAUGUGUGAAGGCUUGGCUUUGCUCAAGAACCCUGUGGCCAAUAAUAGGUUGAAUGUGGGAGCACUGAUUUGAAAGGUGGUGAGGAUUUCCCAGGGCAGUGAGAGUUUGAGCUCGGAAUCCAGCUCCUCUCAACCUGCAUCUGUAACCAUCCUUUUAAACCCUAUUGUCAAGUUUUCAGUAUCGCAUAGAGGUUUUCUAACAAUAGUUAAUUAUGAGAAGGAAAAUUCUUACCUCUGACCUUUGAGCAACGAGCAUUUACCUUUAAAAUGUGGUUCCGCUGUGGUAAAGUCCAUCUGGUUGAAUCAACUAAAUACUUGCACCUCUUCACAGAUGACUUCUGGAACAGGUUGGACGUUUGUUGGCGUUCGGUGCCUAUAGACAUGCAAGGUUCAAAGAAGAGGGAGAAGCUGAGUUAGCCCUUAUUGCACCAAUUUGGUGAUUUAAAAUUCGCUUGGAGGGUCUCUAAAAAUUUCCAUGCAGUUCGGUAGCUCAGUCUAUCUAAGACUCUAACUCAGCACGAACCUUCACGUUAAAUUUUCAUUUUUUUUUCCUGACACCAAUGUUUAUUAUCUUUAUAAUUAAAUCCAGCUUUGAUUUACCAUCUAAACCAGGCAAUCGAGCCAGACAACAUAGGAACCUUUCUCUUCCCUUAUUCUGAAAAGCGUCUAUGGUGACUCCUCACUUUGCUCCGUCUGUUCAAACGCCACGACUGACUCAUCCUGUCCCUUAUCCCACGAGAAUAUAUCCAAAGUGAUUAACGGCAGAAGGAGUUGAGGUUCACGAUGAGAGAGAGGAUUGACCCUUGGAAUAGCACUUCUUAAAAAUGAUCAUAUUUCUAGGUUUCUUUUUAAAAUUAAAGACUCAAGUAAAGCACGAGAAUUCUGGCCUUGCUUUUUGGUUCAUCUGCACAAAGAUGUUACGAAGAGUUGUUGUGUACUCAUCCUGUGUGUGAAACAGCCCUCCCAAAGGAACUCCAGACUAUUAUUGUUCUCCCCUGUUUCUCCAGUAAUUGAUUCAGGAAGCUUUCUUGAAGAAUGGGGUUUUCCACUUUAUUAUCACUACUGCCGACUGUGUUACACAUGGAUUGUCAAAAAUUUGAAUGCAAUAAAAUGAAUAGUGAUACAUCUACAAUGAAUAUAAUUUAGUCCUUCACGAUGUAGGAUUUACAGUCGUGCAGACCUCCAUUAGGAACGUCAGUGAUAAUUAGGUUGUAGCUAUAAAAAACAUAGGAAAUGGACUGAAACAGCCUUCAUUUUUUUUUUCCAAAAAAAGAUUGUAUUUAUUUAUUUGAGAUAGAGUGUGGGAGAGAGAGCAUGAUCAGGGGUCUCUGGGAUCCCAGGACUCUGGGAUCAUGAUCUGGGCCACCCAGGCACCCCCAGCCUUCACCCUUUAAUCAUCUGCAAGUGGUUUGAAAAAAGGAACGCUUUUAUUGCUUGUUUACUUGCCCCUUAUAUAAGGGAAGGCAGUAAGGAAGUGGGGAGUUGGGAGAUGUGAUUUGAGAGCAAUGAGUGUGGGGGGGGGUGUAGCUUUUUCUUUUGUGAACGUAUUAUGAAUAUAUAAGAAACAGUGAUACGAGCCAGCCUCCACAAGGCCCCACUAUAAAUGUGAUCAAAGGCAGGGCCAGAGAGCAGGACACCGAGUCAUGUUAUAGGGUCUCAGAGGUGAGACAGUGCCAAUUUGUUCUCUCCUCUCCUAGGGACCUUAGGUCCAACGUGAGUGGGAGGUUCUCAAUCUUUGUCACCAGGUCAUGACAUGACCGGUCAACUUGAUCUCUCUGGUCACUUCCUUCCACCCCACAGGGAUUCCCUGCAUCCCUUGGAAUGCCGUGCCUGCGAGACUAUGGAAAGACAGACACAUUGCAGGGCUACAGUGUGCAGGGCCCCAUGUCCUCUUGAGUCACCCCAACUUCCCUCUCUCUCGCUCUCCUCUUGGCAAUGUCAUGGCUGGCAGUGAGCCCGCGGGGUAGGGUUCUCUUCUGCAGACCACCGGGCAUAGAGGGCAGGUGGGGGCAGGGGGAGCCAACCUUAUAGCUUCUGGGCCUGCUUUCCUCUGGUUUAAUUCCUCCUCAUUUCGGUUUCAAAAUGCAGUUGGGGUGUAUCCACUGUGUUCCCGGAGUCACCAAUUUUUUUUUUUGAGCAGGUAAAUCAGGUAAUUCUCUUCAGGAGCUGCAGCUCCCCACCAAUCGAGUCCUCUGGAAGGCUCCAUUUCCUCCCGAAAGCCCAAUGAAAGGUGCUGCUCACAGUGAGUCCGGUUAAUAAAUAGCUCCUCCAGCUGAGACCAUUUGUCUGAGGUCUAGUUCCAUCCAUUACAAUUGGAUUCUGAAAUAUUUUCCUGCAAUCUCCUUGAGCACUGGAAGAAAAAAAAAAAAAAAAGCUCUGUAGUUUCACCAAGAGGAGGAAGCCUCCCUCCAAAUGAGCAAGACUCAGCAGGUCUGGCACAGCUAACCUUGAUCCGUCCUAGCUGGUGUCUUGUUGCUGCUUCUUGCCCAGCCUCCUUUCUGUUUUUUAACCUGGUCUCCUCUUUUAUGUUCACUUAUUUCGUUACUUGAAAGAAAAUAGCAGG
rnacentral:lncRNA from 1 species